rnacentral:rRNA from 1 species
AUGUGAAAUCCCCGGGCUCAACCUGGGAACUGCAUCUGAUACUGGCAAGCUUGAGUCUCGUAGAGGGGGGUAGAAUUCCAGGUGUAGCGGUGAAAUGCGUAGAGAUCUGGAGGAAUACCGGUGGCGAAGGCGGCCCCCUGGACGAAGACUGACGCUCAGGUGCGAAAGCGUGGGGAGCAAACAGGAUUAGAUACCCUGGUAGUCCACGCCGUAAACGAUGUCGACUUGGAGGUUGUGCCCUUGAGGCGUGGCUUCCGGAGCUAACGCGUUAAGUCGACCGCCUGGGGAGUACGGCCGCAAGGUUAAAACUCAAAUGAAUUGACGGGGGCCCGCACAAGCGGUGGAGCAUGUGGUUUAAUUCGAUGCAACGCGAAGAACCUUACCUGGUCUUGACAUCCACAGAACUUUCCAGAGAUGGAUUGGUGCCUUCGGGAACUGUGAGACAGGUGCUGCAUGGCUGUC